UUUAAAAUUGAGAGUUUGAUCCUGGCUCAGGACGAACGCUGGCGGCGUGCUUAACACAUGCA
rnacentral:rRNA from 1 species